GAAUGCUUCUGUCAUCUCCAUCAGAUACCAUUACAAAAUCUGUGGCACAAGCAGAGUGUCCAAUACCUUAAAACCUCCGAAAACAUUGCAGAGAAACUUGAAAAGUUGGAAAGUGAAUUUUUAUUCAAUUCAAAUGGGCACGUCCAUGGUCUUCUUCACUAGCAUUCCUCUGAAAUUUUCUCAAAUACCCAGAUCGGUUCGACCACCAAUUCGACCAAACCACCGUCUUCCAUUGGAUUUUAGCGACAAAUUCCAACAUGGGUUUGGACGAAUCCGGUUUUUCAAGGCCAAACCCAGAAGAAAAUUUUGCACAGAGGCUGUGUUAUCUGAAACUCCGAACCAGAAACAGUAUCCAAAGAUAGGUGCCCUAUCUACUGGACCCAUUCCACAUAGUCAUCUAAUUCAGGUGGUUGAGACUGCUGCUAAGACUGGUGCUGAGGUUGUGAUGGAUGCUGUUAAUAAGCCUCGAAACAUAACAUAUAAAGGACUUACGGACUUGGUGACUGAGACAGAUAAAAUGAGUGAGGCUGCUAUUUUGGAAGUAGUUAAAAAGAAUUUUGAAGAUCACCUCAUUCUUGGGGAGGAGGGAGGAAUUAUAGGAGAUACUUCAUCUGAUUAUCUCUGGUGCAUCGAUCCUUUAGAUGGAACGACAAACUUUGCACAUGGUUAUCCUAGUUUUGCAGUUUCUGUUGGAGUUCUGUUUCGAGGGAAUCCUGCCGCCGCUGCUGUGGUGGAGUUUGUUGGGGGCCCUUUCUGUUGGAAUACCCGCAUAUUUUCUGCAACUUCUGGUGGGGGAGCAUUCUGUAAUGGUCAAAGAUUUCACGUGAGUCAAACGAAUCAGGUGGAGCAAUCCCUUCUAGUGACAGGGUUUGGGUAUGAACAUGAUGACGCAUGGGCUACCAACAUCGAUUUAUUUAAAGAAUUUACUGAUGUCAGCCGGGGUGUAAGAAGACUUGGGGCCGCUGCAGUCGACAUGUGCCAUGUAGCUUUGGGGGUUGCAGAAGCUUAUUGGGAGUACCGUCUAAAGCCAUGGGAUAUGGCUGCUGGUGCUUUGAUAGUUGAAGAAGCUGGUGGUGCAGUUACUCGCAUGGAUGGUGGAAAGUUUUGUGUGUUUGAUAGAUCUAUUUUAGUAUCCAAUGGUGUGCUGCAUGAAAAGCUUUUGGAGAGAAUUGGACCUGCAACAGAGAAAUUGAAGAGCAAAGGAAUUGAUUUCUCAUUGUGGUAUAAGCCAGAAAAUUACCUUACAGAUCUUUGAGACAUCCAGAUUUCUGAUUUCUGUUACCAGCUCUACUAGAAAGAUUUCUGCAGCACAGCUUCUGCCGAAUCUUCAUCCGUACAUCAAUGCAAAUACGCGCAAGCGCAAUUGCAGUACACUCGAGCGCACUCACGGCCAUGGCAGCAGUUGAUCUAGUUGAGCGCACCUGCGCUUGACAACUUCAUGCGUCAGCUCAAGCGCACCAGCGCUCAAGGCAGCACCACUGAUGGAUCAGUGCGCCUGUGCUUGAUCCCACCUAGCCUGCACUCGAGUGCACCUCUACAAACACCACCAACAAACUGGCAGUAGCUAAAAAUUGUGCCAACAUUUAUUUUUGGUCAUUUUUGUGAGUUUUUAAGUUUUAGUUUUUAUUUUUUUUGGUCUUGUGUAAGUUGUAAUUUUUUUUUUCUUUUAAAAAAAAUGGUUAAUGGUUUAUGUGGGAUAUUUACAUGU